GGAGAUAUAUGGAGCUUGCUUUAUAUAACUUAGCAGCGAACGGGUGAGUAACACGUAGAUAAUCUAUCCUAUACUGGGGGAUAGCCCGAUGAAAGUUGGAUUAAUACCGCAUAUAGCUAUAUAGUUGCAUGAUUAUGUAGUGAAAGAUUUAUUGGUAUAGGAGGAGUCUGCGGCACAUUAGCUAGUAGGUGAGGUAAAGGCUUACCUAGGCGACGAUGUGUAGCCGGUCUGAGAGGAUGAACGGCCACAAUGGAACUGAGACACGGUCCAUACUCCUACGGGAGGCAGCAGUGGGGAAUAUUGCACAAUGGGGGAAACCCUGAUGCAGCAACGCCGCGUGAGUGAAGAAGGUUUUCGGAUUGUAAAGCUCUGUUAGCAGGGAAGAGGAAGGACGGUACCUGCAGAGGAAGCCACGGCUAACUACGUGCCAGCAGCCGCGGUAAUACGUAGGUGGCAAGCGUUGUUCGGAAUAACUGGGCGUAAAGGAUGCGUAGGCGGUUAAACAAGUUAUAUGUUAAAUAUAUAGGCUUAACCUGUAGAAAGCAUAUAAAACUGUUUAACUAGAGUGCAGGAGAGGUAAGUGGAAUUCCUAGUGUAGCGGUGAAAUGCGUAGAGAUUAGGAAGAACACCAGUGGCGAAGGCGACUUACUGGACUGUAACUGACGCUGAGGCAUGAGAGCAUGGGGAGCAAACAGGAUUAGAUACCCUGGUAGUCCAUGCUGUAAACGAUGGGUACUAGGUGUGGGUUGUGAAU
rnacentral:rRNA from 1 species